rnacentral:rRNA from 1 species
AGCGAACGCUGGCGGCAGGCUUAACACAUGCAAGUCGAGCGGGCACUUCGGUGUCAGCGGCAGACGGGUGAGUAACACGUGGGAACGUACCCUUCGGUUCGGAAUAACGCUGGGAAACUAGCGCUAAUACCGGAUACGCCCUUUUGGGGAAAGGUUUACUGCCGAAGGAUCGGCCCGCGUCUGAUUAGCUAGUUGGUGGGGUAAUGGCCUACCAAGGCGACGAUCAGUAGCUGGUCUGAGAGGAUGAUCAGCCACACUGGGACUGAGACACGGCCCAGACCCCCUCGGGAGGGAGGAGGGGGGAAUAUUGGAACAUGGGCGCAAGCCUGAUCCAGCCAUGCCGCGUGAGUGAUGAAGGCCUUAGGGUUGUAAAGCUCUUUUGUCCGGGACGAUAAUGACGGUACCGGAAGAAUAAGCCCCGGCUAACUUCGU